GCGGGCGUAGUUAAGUGGUAUAACGCGUCACUGAUAAUGACGAGGCCGUAGGUUCGAUUCCUACCGCCCGCACCA
rnacentral:tRNA from 1 species